AAUCCUUAUUGAAUAAUAUUAUCUCUACUUUUGUGUCACAAGGUACUGGUCUCAGAGUUACAUACUGAGUUAAUGGAACGCUACACAGUCAUCUUUAGAUGCCUGAUAGACCAACACUAUGUUUUUAGCCAUGAAAAGUGUAUUCAACCUAUGCACUAAUAAGCCCUGCUCUUGGCAGAAUGCAUUUCCACAAGCAAUAAUCUACAGUGAUUAUGAGUAAGUGACAGGAAGAGCAAACUCUGACAUAAGAAAGUUAUCCACAGAUGUCCAGGAAGUAAUGGGUAGAAUUAACCUGGAGCCUGGAAUCCUGAUGUCCAUUCCUCUAGUGAACUUGUGGGACCUCCAGUUGUCUUUUGCAUGAAUGCAAGGUUAUCCCAGCAGUAUUGAAUCUCUUCUGUGAUAAGGGGUUUUUCAGGAGUGAUGAAGGCAUCUCCACUUUCAUUGGCUGCAUGGAUGGAAGGUGCAUCGCUGAAUAUUUUUUACUUCUCCAAAGCAUUAUAUGCUGGCCGUGGCCCAAGCCUUAUAUUACCUAGGCAAGCCACAGCUGCAGUCAUUUCCCUUCAGAGACACAUCAUUUCCCCAAGACACAUCCUGUCUCAGAGGGCUAUGCUGUCUGCUGCUCCAAGCUUCUGUCCCCUUUUUCAG
ensembl:lncRNA